rnacentral:rRNA from 1 species
GCUACAGGCUUAACACAUGCAAGUCGAGGGGCAGCAUGGUCUUAGCUUGCUAAGGCCGAUGGCGACCGGCGCACGGGUGAGUAACACGUAUCCAACCUGCCGUCUACUCUUGGACAGCCUUCUGAAAGGAAGAUUAAUACAAGAUGGCAUCAUGAGUCCACAUGUUCACAUGAUUAAAGGUAUUCCGGUAGACGAUGGGGAUGCGUUCCAUUAGAUAGUAGGCGGGGUAACGGCCCACCUAGUCUUCGAUGGAUAGGGGUUCUGAGAGGAAGGUCCCCCACAUUGGAACUGAGACACGGUCCAAACUCCUACGGGAGGCAGCAGUGAGGAAUAUUGGUCAAUGGGCGCAGGCCUGAACCAGCCAAGUAGCGUGAAGGAUGACUGCCCUAUGGGUUGUAAACUUCUUUUAUAAAGGAAUAAAGUCGGGUAUGCAUACCCGUUUGCAUGUACUUUAUGAAUAAGGAUCGGCUAACUCCGUGCCAGCAGCCGCGGUAAUACGGAGGAUCCGAGCGUUAUCCGGAUUUAUUGGGUUUAAAGGGAGCGUAGAUGGAUGUUUAAGUCAGUUGUGAAAGUUUGCGGCUCAACCGUAAAAUUGCAGUUGAUACUGGAUAUCUUGAGUGCAGUUGAGGCAGGCGGAAUUCGUGGUGUAGCGGUGAAAUGCUUAGAUAUCACGAAGAACUCCGAUUGCGAAGGCAGCCUGCUAAGCUGCAACUGACAUUGAGGCUCGAAAGUGUGGGUAUCAAACAGGAUUAGAUACCCUGGUAGUCCACACGGUAAACGAUGAAUACUCGCUGUUUGCGAUAUACAGCAAGCGGCCAAGCGAAAGCGUUAAGUAUUCCACCUGGGGAGUACGCCGGCAACGGUGAAACUCAAAGGAAUUGACGGGGGCCCGCACAAGCGGAGGAACAUGUGGUUUAAUUCGAUGAUACGCGAGGAACCUUACCCGGGCUUAAAUUGCAGAUGAAUUACGGUGAAAGCCGUAAGCCGCAAGGCAUCUGUGAAGGUGCUGCAUGGUUGUCGUCAGCUCGUGCCGUGAGGUGUCGGCUUAAGUGCCAUAACGAGCGCAACCCUUGUUGUCAGUUACUAACAGGUUCCGCUGAGGACUCUGACAAGACUGCCAUCGUAAGAUGUGAGGAAGGUGGGGAUGACGUCAAAUCAGCACGGCCCUUACGUCCGGGGCUACACACGUGUUACAAUGGGGGGUACAGAGGGCCGCUACCACGCGAGUGGAUGCCAAUCCCAAAAACCUCUCUCAGUUCGGACUGGAGUCUGCAACCCGACUCCACGAAGCUGGAUUCGCUAGUAAUCGCGCAUCAGCCACGGCGCGGUGAAUACGUUCCCGGGCCUUGUACACACCGCCCGUCAAGCCAUGGGAGCCGGGGGGUACCUGAAGUGCGUAACCGCGAGGAGCGCCCUAGGGUAAAACUGGUGACUGGGGCUAAGUAG